CGCGCCGGACGCUCGGACGGCGGCACGGGAGCGUCACACGUUCCCCUGAGGCCGUUUUGCACCCCAGUCGAUCCGGGGGUGCGGGAGGGACCUGGGAGAUGAGCUCCCCACCCCCAGCAAGAUUUUGCCAGGGUCUGGGACAGGCGGAACCGGGGCGCCCCGGGCUCUGGGUCGCGUUCUGAAGCGUCACAAGGAAGGCUCAGCAGAGGGGAGAGGCCGGGAGGACCCGCACCGGAAAGCUAGUCGGGACGCGGUAACAGGCGCUUGUGAAACUCAGGAAACUUGACCACGGAUUUCCCUCUUUUCACAGAACGUUUAGCGGGACUGGGGUGCUCGGUGGGGAGAGCACAGGAGCUAAUCUCGUGCGUCCAGAACUCUAGAUUACCACGUGGGGGGAGCCCUGGAAGCUCCUGCAGUUAACAUGAGCUGUUGGGGUGAAGGUGUCAGUAGCAGACCUGUCCUUAAAAGCUUGAAAAUCUGGGUCUCCCUGGUGGCGCAGGCGUUUUGAGUGCUGCACUGUGAAGCUGUCCGCAGCCUCUGCAGCGCGGGUUCGAUCCUGGCUGACCGAAGAGAAUCCCACAUGGUGCCGCAGACCUCUCCUGUCUCGCCUGCUGCUUCCCUCAGCAUUUCGUCAGUCUGCCUGUUCUGUUCCCCGCUCUCUCUCUGGUGAAUCCUCUCACCCUCCCGAGCAUUUGGCCUGUACCCCAGUUCUUAUAUAAAAAUAAAUAAAUCUUAAAAAAAAAAAAAAGCUUGAAAAUAUGAGAUCCAGAAAAAAUGAUAAAAUAUUGGCUGUGGUCUUAAAAAUGACUCAAAGAUCAGCACUGAUGUCCUUUCUGCAUUAAAGAAGGGGAACUCAGAGCCUGACAUCUCAGAAGGCAGUGAAAGAAGAGAGGGUCCUUAAUCUCUAAGCUUUCUGCCUGUAGUUGCCCCAUAACUUUUUGAUUCACCCUUCCAAAGAGGGACAAGAUAGCACAACUGAGGUAUCGUGCUACCAGCUGAAGACUUUUAGAAAGAUCUAUUCCUGCAGGUGGAGCCAAGUAGACUUCAUGUAGGAGGUGAUAAAAUGUUAGGAUUAGUAAGUAGCUGGAUGGAAAAAGCAUGUCUGGUCAAGGGAACAGUAAAAAGGGAAAGAAUACUGCAAAGGAUUUAAAGUUUAUUUGAAGAAAGGGAGAUUUUUGAAGUCAUGACCACAAGGUAGAUGGUGAAGAGUUGUGGAAACGAAGCUGGAACGUCCAAGUGAGAAGCCAAUCAUGAGGGGUUUCACUAAAGUGUAACUGCACACGUGCCAGACCACAUCGAUAUCGAUGCUCUAAGGGGGGUUACUUCCCUCUGUGAAAAAUACAGACAAAUGCUGCUUAUUCGAUGGGACUAUUUUUCCCCCAAAAUCCUCCAGUUUUUUCAACUCACUUGUAUAUAGGUAUGUUUCCUUUUUUUGUCUGUAAAAGAAUGCAUUGGGACUUGGUAUAUUAAAGGAAGUUCCUCAAAGUGCCAAAUAUGGAUUCAGGGAAUGCUAAAUUCUUCUUAAUUUAAUAUAAUGUAUCCUGAAUAACAAGGUUACUCUCUUGUCACAUGAACAAAAUAAAAUAUGAACAUUGAUCCUCAAAAAAAAAAAAAAAACACUACAGUCAAGAUCCCUGACCUACUUAAAUACAACAUUUAAGAGGGUAGGAGGGAGGCAAGUAAUAAACCCAUAAAUAGACAAGGGGAUUACAAAAAAAAAUGAAUAAAAUAAGUGAUAGAAUUAUGGGGGGGAAACAAUAGAUAGGGUGUCAUUCCAGGCCUCUCAGAGGAGCUGACCUGAAAGCGUUAAGAGAGAUUUGGAUUUUAUCUUUAUGAAUGGGGGAAACUAUUGAAAGCUUUAAAACAAAUGAAAUGACAUUCAUAUUUUUGGAAUUAUCACUCAAAGGGGAGGGAAUAAGUUUGCAUAGGGAGAGGUUUUGAAGCUGGAGAAUGGGUGAGGUGGCACUUGCUGUAAUCGGGUAGGAGAUGAAGAAACUUGAAAUAAAGGAGCAGAUCUGAGAUUUAGGGGAUGCAGUUAAUCCUGGACGCAAGAUGUGAUGGCGUAGAAGAAGACCAAGUUGAUUCCCAAGAUUCCAGGGAGGGUGACAGAAUGGAUGGAGCUGAAAUGUAAAUGAAAUAGGAAACAGACAACCGGCUGGGUGAGUGGAUGGAAUCUUGAGGGGAGUGUGACACAGGCUGAUUUUCAAGUAGCUGUGGGUCCUUCAGAAAUGUCUGUCAGCAAUGAAAACUAUGUUUCAGGAACUGAGAAGAAAAAUCUGGCCUGGAGACAGAGAUUAUCAACUCUGGAAGCAAGAAUCGUGUCUUGAGAUCAGGUUCCAGUCCCGGAAGGGCCUUUAGAUAUAUACAGAUAUAUCCCCCCAGACACUACAAUCUAAUCCAACUCACAUUUGACAAAUGGAUGCUCAUUAGUUUGUUUUGAAGAAUGUGUCUUCUACCGUUCGCAUGAAAGAAAGCAGCACAAUAACAUGUUGGUUAGAACUGCCCCGAAACCUGUGCCAUCUCUGGUUUCUGUCUCUACGUCAACCCCACUGUCAUCUUCCAGACUCGCCAAAACAAGAAGCUGAGUAUCCUUUAUGCCAUCCUCUCCCUCACUACCCAUAUCCGAUCCAUCACCACAUUCCAUUGAU